rnacentral:rRNA from 1 species
CGCCUACGGGAGGCAGCAGUGAGGAAUAUUGGUCAAUGGGCGCGAGCCUGAACCAGCCAAGUCGCGUGAGGGAAGACGGUCCUAUGGAUUGUAAACCUCUUUUGUCGGGGAGCAAAAGACGCCACGCGUGGCGUUCCGAGAGUACCCGAAGAAAAAGCAUCGGCUAACUCCGUGCCAGCAGCCGCGGUAAUACGGAGGAUGCGAGCGUUAUCCGGAUUCAUUGGGUUUAAAGGGUGCGCAGGCGGGCCUUUAAGCCGGCGGUUAAAUCGCGGGG